AUAAAAUUCAAAUUUAGGAAACAUUAACGAAUCACCUUUGUGUUCUCUUUCUAGAUUCCUGCAAGUCAAGUACGUUACAAUUGUUUAACCGACUCUGGAAGUGCCCCUUCACACAGGUAAUGCUGGAGUAGAAUUCGAGCGUAGGAAUGCUAUUUGCUUACGGAAACGAUUAAUCGGAGCCAAGAUUGAUUUCUCAGAAUUGCGUUGUGUGGCUAAAAAGUACACUCCAGGCUCGUGC